rnacentral:rRNA from 1 species
AAACCAACAGGGAUUGCCUCAGUAACGGCGAGUGAAGCGGCAAAAGCUCAAAUUUGAAACCCUCGGGAUUGUAAUUUGAAGAUUUGGCAUUGGAGAAAGCUAACCCAAGUUGCUUGGAAUAGUACGUCAUAGAGGGUGACAACCCCGUCUGGCUAACCGUUCUCCAUGUAUUGCCUUAUCAAAGAGUCGAGUUGUUUGGGAAUGCAGCUCAAAGUGGGUGGUAAACUCCAUCUAAAGCUAAAUACUGGUGAGAGACCGAUAGCGAACAAGUACUGUGAAGGAAAGGUGAAAAGAACUUUGAAAAGAGAGUGAAAUAGUAUGUGAAAUUGUUGAUAGGGAAGGAAAUGAGUGGAGAGUGGCCGAGGUUUCAGCCGCCCCUCGUGGGCGGUGUACUGCCGACGCCGAGUCAUCGAUAGCGAGACGAGGGUUACAAAUGGGAGCGCCUUCGGGCGUUCUCCCCUAACCCUCCACACUGCCACCGACGACAUAAUCCACCCAUUUCACCCGUCUUGAAACACGGACCAAGGAGUCUAAUGGAUAUGUGAGUGUUAGGGUGGCAAACCCCAGCGCGCAAUGAAAGUGAAUGGAUUCGUUCAGAAUCGACCGAACUUGAUUAUUAUGACAGUUUUGAGUAAACACAUCCAUUGGGACCCGAAAGAUGGUGAACUAUGCCUGGAUAGGGUGAAGUCAGAGGAAACUCUGAUGGAGGCUCGUAGCGGUUCUGACGUGCAAAUCGAUCGUAGGAUCUGGGUAUAGGGGCGAAAGACUAAUCGAACCAUCUAGUAGCUGGUUCCUGCCGAAGUUUCCCUCAGGAUAGCAGAAGCUCAUAUCAGUUUUAUGAGGUAAAGCGAAUGAUUAGAAGUAUUGG